rnacentral:rRNA from 1 species
AAUAGAUACCCCGGUAGUCCACGCCGUAAACGAUGUCGACUUGGAGGUUGUGCCCUUGAGGCGUGGCUUCCGGAGCUAACGCGUUAAGUCGACCGCCUGGGGAGUACGGCCGCAAGGUUAAAACUCAAAUGAAUUGACGGGGGCCCGCACAAGCGGUGGAGCAUGUGGUUUAAUUCGAUGCAACGCGAAGAACCUUACCUACUCUUGACAUCCAGAGAACUUAGCAGAGAUGCUUUGGUGCCUUCGGGAACUCUGAGACAGGUACUGCAUGGCUGUCGUCAGCUCGUGUUGUGAAAUGUUGGGUUAAGUCCCGCAACGAGCGCAACCCUUAUCCUUUGUUGCCAGCGGUUAGGCCGGGAACUCAAAGGAGACUGCCAGUGAUAAACUGGAGGAAGUGGGGAUGACGUCAAGUCAUCAUGGCCCUUACGAGUAGGGCUACACACGUGCUACAAUGGCAUAUACAAAGAGAAGCGACCUCGCGAGAGCAAGCGGACCUCAUAAAGUAUGUCGUAGUCCGGAUUGGAGUCUGCUAAC